AGGACAAACGCUGGCGGCGUGCAUAAAACAUGCAAGUCGGACGAGCCAAUCCCCGCAAGGGGAAAGGCUAGUGGCGAACGGCUGAGUAACACGUAGGUGAUCUGCCCUGAAGUGGGGGAUAACGACUCGAAAGAGUCGCUAAUACCGCAUGUGACCACCGAUCCGUUUUCGGUGCUCAAAGUCGUAAGACGCUUUAGGAGGAGCCUGCGGCGGAUUAGCUAGUUGGUGAGGUAAUGGCCCACCAAGGCUUCGAUCCGUAGCUGGUCUGAGAGGAUGGCCAGCCAGACUGGGACUGAGACACGGCCCAGACUCCUACGGGAGGCAGCAGUUAGGAAUUUUGCGCAAGUGGGGG
rnacentral:rRNA from 1 species